ensembl:Mt_tRNA
CAGAAGAUAGCUUAAAAGUUAAGCAUUUCCCUUACACCGAAAAUAUUCUUGUGCAAUUCAAGAUCUUCUGA